CAGCAGCCGCGGUAAUACCGGCGGCCCGAGUGGCGGUCACUAUUAUUGGGCUUAAAGCGUCCGUAGCCGGGUUGGGAAGUCCUCCGGGAAAUCUGGCCGCUUAACGGUCAGAAUGCCGGAGGAUACUCCCAGCCUAGGGAGCGGGAGAGGCCGAGGGGAUUCCCGGAGGAGGGGUGAAAUCCUAUAAUCCCGGGAGGACCACCUGGGGCGAAGGCGCUCGGCUGGAACGCGUCCGACGGUGAGGGACGAAGGCCAGGGGAGCAAACCGGAUUAGAUACCCGGGUAGUCCUGGCUGUAAACGAUGCGGACUUUGUGUCGGACAAGCUAUGAGCUUGUCCGGUGCCGGAGGGAAACCGUUAAGUCCGCCGCCUGGGGAGUACGGCCGCAAGGCUGAAACUUAAAGGAAUUGGCGGG
rnacentral:rRNA from 1 species